UAGUUCAAGUCUACGGUUUCUAUGAACUUCGAUCAAAGACUCGAGCACCGAAAAUCGAGUUCAAUUCCAAAGUAGAACAAAAAAGAGAGUACAGAUUCCGAUAGAACUGAGCGUAUCAAAGAAAUAUAAUUAACAACAGUUGAAAACUAAAAUA